UCCUACGGGAGAAAGCAGGGGNCCUUCGGGCCUUGCGCUAUCAGAUGAGCCUAGGUCGGAUUAGCUAGUUGGUGAGGUAAUGGCUCACCAAGGCGACGAUCCGUAACUGGUCUGAGAGGAUGAUCAGUCACACUGGAACUGAGACACGGUCCAGACUCCUACGGGAGGCAGCAGUGGGGAAUAUUGGACAAUGGGCGAAAGCCUGAUCCAGCCAUGCCGCGUGUGUGAAGAAGGUCUUCGGAUUGUAAAGCACUUUAAGUUGGGAGGAAGGGCAUUAACCUAAUACGUUAGUGUUUGACGUACCGACAGAAUAAGCNCC
rnacentral:rRNA from 1 species